GACGAACGCUGGCGGCGUGCUUAGCACAUGCAAGUCGAACGGAAAGGCCCUGCUUUUGUGGGGUGCUCGAGUGGCGAACGGGUGAGUAACACGUGAGUACCUGCCCUUGACUUUGGGAUAACUUCAGGAAACUGGGGCUAAUACCGGAUAGGAGCUCCUGCUGCAUGGUGGGGGUUGGAAAGUUUCGGCGGUUGGGGAUGGACUCGCGGCUUAUCAGCUUGUUGGUGGGGUAGUGGCUUACCAAGGCUUUGACGGGUAGCCGGCCUGAGAGGGUGACCGGCCACAUUGGGACUGAGAUACGGCCCAGACUCCUACGGGAGGCAGCAGUGGGGAAUAUUGCACAAUGGGCGGAAGCCUGAUGCAGCAACGCCGCGUGCGGGAUGACGGCCUUCGGGUUGUAAACCGCUUUCGCCUGUGACGAAGCGUGAGUGACGGUAAUGGGUAAAGAAGCACCGGCUAACUACGUG
rnacentral:rRNA from 1 species